CCUACGGGUGGCAGCAGUGGGGAAUAUUGGACAAUGGGCGAAAGCCUGAUCCAGCCAUGCCGCGUGUGUGAAGAAGGCCUUCGGGUUGUAAAGCACUUUCAGUGGGGAAGAAAGCCUUGGGGCUAAUACCCUCGAGGAAGGACAUCACCCACAGAAGAAGCACCGGCUAACUCCGUGCCAGCAGCCGCGGUAAUACGGAGGGUGCGAGCGUUUAUCGGAAUUACUGGGCGUAAAGCGCGCGUAGGCGGUCUGAUAAGCCGGUUGUGAAAGCCCCGGGCUCAACCUGGGAACGGCAUCCGGAACUGUCAGGCUAGAGUGCAGGAGAGGAAGGUAGAAUUCCCGGUGUAGCGGUGAAAUGCGUAGAGAUCGGGAGGAAUACCAGUGGCGAAGGCGGCCUUCUGGACUGACACUGACGCUGAGGUGCGAAAGCGUGGGUAGCAAACAGGAUUAGAUACCCUGGUAGUC
rnacentral:rRNA from 1 species